GACGAACGCGGGCGGCGUGCCUAACACAUGCAAGUCGAGCGAGUGAAUCUCCUUCGGGAGUGAAGCUAGCGGCGGACGGGUGAGUAACACGUGGGCAACCUGCCUCAUAGAGGGGAAUAGCCUUCCGAAAGGAAGAUUAAUACCGCAUAAGAUUGUAGCUUCGCAUGAAGUAGCAAUUAAAGGAGCAAUCCGCUAUGAGAUGGGCCCGCGGCGCAUUAGCUAGUUGGUGAGGUAACGGCUCACCAAGGCGACGAUGCGUAGCCGACCUGAGAGGGUGAUCGGCCACAUUGGGACUGAGACACGGCCCAGACUCCUACGGGAGGCAGCAGUGGGGAAUAUUGCACAAUGGGGGAAACCCUGAUGCAGCAACGCCGCGUGAGUGAUGGCGGCCUUCGGGUUGUAAAGCUCUGUCUUCAGGGACGAUAAUGACGGUACCUGAGGAGGAAGCCACGGCUAACUACGUGCCAGCCGCCGCCGUAACAC
rnacentral:rRNA from 1 species